CGGCAUAUGGAGGGUCCCAGGCUGGGGGCUGACUUGGAGCUACAGCUGCCGGCCUCCCCCAGAGCCACUGCAGCGCUGGAUCCUCAGUCCAGUCAGCAGGGCCAGGGAUGGAACCUGUGUCCUCAUGGAUGCCGGUCAGAUACGUUUCUGCUGAGUCACCAUGGGAACUCCAGAUUACUGAUUUUAGUGUUUUUUAGAUAGGAGGAGAUGCAGGAAUUGGGCUCAUAAAGUCUUAUGCGGAAAUUAUCUAAUUCUCUGAAGGCCUGAUCUGCCAGUUUCCCAGGGCGCAGAGUGCCUCGCUCCUGAUCUGCACCCUGAACUGCUCUCAGGGGCGUUGGAGGUGGGCCGCCGGAGCAGCUCACACUUCAGUCCUUGUCGAGGUAGCGGAGCUGCCCUGUUGGAGCUGUCGAUCGCGUGUGGAACCGUCCAUCUGGUCAGCCGCUUCGGGUCACCUAGUCACCGUUAUUUUUGUCAGAGGCCCAGUCCCACAUUUGGUCAGGCCGGCAAAGUACAAAUAGUGCAGCUCAUGGCAUUCAUAGAAUUAGAGGGACAGAAGUAGCUGCCAAAUGGUCGGAGCAGCAGAAUACAGGUCUCUCAACCGUCAGGCUCAUCGCAGCGGUCUUUCUGCAGGGACUCCCCAAAGGGGAAUGACCUUCCCUAAAAGCAGCUCGCCUGCCGACUGUGCCAUGGCUCUUCUGCCUCCCAGGUGGAGACGCGGACAUCGUGGCGAGUGCCUGCUGGGACCCCCGAGAGGGGGCAUCUGGAUAAAAUCAAUCUGCCACGUUUCAAAGGGCGUGCAGCAGCUCUCAGCCUGGCAGACUCCUGUUCGUGCUCGUAGUUCAGCCUGUUGGGCAGGAGAGACUUUGGGUGAGGACUGCCCUCAAGCACUGACGCUGGAGAAACAACAGCACCAUCAGCCGGGUCGUUCCCUGGGUCCUUGCAGAUACGAACCGUCAGUGAAUGAUAUUAAAUCAGAAUUUGCUGUAGCGCUUUCUUGGAGAUCAGUCCUGGGAGAUAAAAGAUUGUCCGUUAAAACAAGACAGUCUUUUUUUUUUUUUUUCCUUCUUCUUUUUAGGGCCACACUGGCGGCAUUCAGAGGUUUGCAGGCUAGGGGUCAAAUCGGAGCCACAGCAGCUCCCCUGUGCCACAGCCACACCAGAUUUGAGCCGCAUCUGUGAUCUAUGUCUAUCUCACAGCAACACCAGAUCCCCAACCCACUGAGCGAGGCCAGGGAUCGAACCCGCAUCUUCAUAGACACUGGUCAGAUUCGUUUCCGCUGCGCCACAGCGGGAACUCCAGUCCAGUCCUGUUUUUCGUCAUGGAUGUCUGAGUCCUCUGGUCGCAAGGGGACUGGAUGAAGUCUGUCGCAUCUGGGAAGGGCUGCAUCCGGUGAGAGCCAGGUCGUUUCAAGGGCGCUUCAUCCAGUCGAAGACUGCUGUGCUGAGAGUCUAGUACGGCCUCCACAGAGGGGGAAACAGACAGUGAGAAGGCGCUUGCUGACUGUGUCUUGUGUGGUCGGACAUGGCAGCGCUGCACAGCCGGUGCAAGGCGCCAUAAGCCCUUUCUCGACAGAAACUCCUUCUGUGGCCUCUUUUUAAAAAUUUUUUUAAAAUUACUCAAAUGAAUUUAUCACCUCUGUAGUUGUAUGAUGAUCAUAACAAUCCGAUUUCAUAGGAUUUCCAUCCCACGGCCCAAGCACAUCCCCCCACCCCCCAAACUGUCUCCUCCGGAGACCAUAAGUUUUUCAAUGUCUGUGAGUCAGCAUCUGUUCUGCAAAGAAGUUCAGUCUGUCCUGUUUUCAGAUUCCACAGGUCAGUGAAAGCAUUGGAUGUUCGUGUCUCACUGUAUGGCUGACUUCACUUAGCAUGGUAAUUUCUAGGUCCAUCUGUGUUGCUAAGAAUGUGGGUAUUUCGUUCCUUUUAAUGGCUGAGUCAUAUUCCAUCGUGUAUAUGGACCACAUCGUCUGGAUCCACUCCUCUGUCGAUGGACAUUAAAAAUAUGGAGCGCUUCACGGA
rnacentral:lncRNA from 1 species